rnacentral:lncRNA from 1 species
GCCGCUCAGAGCGCUCCAGGCUGGGUUCCCGGGCCCCGCCGCGCCGCCUCCUUCCCAGCUCGCCCGCCCAGGCCUGGCCUCCUGCUUUUCCAUUUGAUUCCCUGCCUCUUUCUAUUCGGACUGGAAUGCCGGGCCAGGCUCCGGGGCGCGCCGCUGCGGCAGCCGCACCUCGCAGGUCCCCCGGCCGACCCCGACGCGGAAGCGGCGGCCCUCCUCGCCGUCGGGGAGCCAGGGAGCCGGGGACGAUCAGUCACAUAAGGCUUAGAGGAUCAAGGAUCCUGCCCAGAUGACUUACCGAAAUGUUACAGAUUAAGUUGGUGUGGUAACCUGGGCUGAGCACUCUGGGAGAGGAAGAGAAGAGAGAAGACAGGAAACAACUGAACUAUGACCAAUCCCAGCACGGAGGCCCAGAAAACUUUAAGAUUUGAGUAUUAAUGUCUCAAGGUCAGGAGCAACCUCAAGGCUAAAACUCAGAUCUCAGGACUCAAUUUCACAGAAGUUCCACUAUAAAGGCAAUAAUCUAAAGCUUUAAAUGAUAUGAAAAUUUUGUAAUAAGAGUUCAGUAUUUCUGCCAACAUUGGCGCAUGGAUUGCAAAGUUCACAGGAUUGAAAACACCAUCGACAUAAUGGAAAUUGAACAGCAUCUGAUUACUGAGUGCUAUAUCAGCAAGUUAAAAGGAUCUUUUGCAUACCUUUUAAUGGUAUAUAUCCUAAAACUGAAGUGUUCAAUAUAGACAUCCAGAUUGAAACUCAGGCAGUGAAUUACAUACACAACAAAUCAGUUGAACAUGGCAGAGCUUGUCAGACUUAUGAAAGAUUAAAUACAUUUUACAUUUCCACAAGUGUGGUAUUCACAGGUCUAAAUUGGAAAAUUCUUGGGUUGAAGAAGAAUAAUCAUAAUCUUAGCUUCACUCAUUGAGGAAACAUUAUUCAGGGAUGAUAAGAGGUAAAAUCUUAAAAAUAUUGACAAGCUAAUGAGAGAACUUUGAGGUAAGCUGAUAUGCAGGUAUAGUUAGGACUGGGAAAAGCAAGAAAAUGGAAGGAUGGGUUAGAGGGUGGCACUACACGGCUGAUAUAGUUUGGAUAUCUGUCCCCAUCCAAAUCUCAUGUUAAAUUGGAAUCCCCAAUUCUGGAGGCAGAGCUAGAAGGCAGAGCCUGGUGGAAGGUGUUUGCAACAUGAGGAAGGAUCCCUCAUGGCUUGGUGCUGUCUUAACAAUAAUGAGUGAGUUCUCCCGAGAUCUAGUCAUUUAAAAGGGUGUGGCACCUCCCCCCCCCCCCGCCCCCGCCAACUCUCUCUUGCUCCUACUCUGCCAUAUGAAUGUUUGUUCCCCCUUUGCCUUCAGCCAUGAUUAGAAGCUUCAUUAGGACUCCUCAGAAGUAGAUGUUGGUGCCAUACUUCCUGUAUAGCCUGUAGUACCAUGAACCUCUUCGCUUUAUAAAUUACCUGGUCUUGGGGAUUUCUUUAUAGCAAUGCAAGAAUGACCUAAUACAGAAAACUGGUACUGAGAAGUGAGUCAUUGCUGUAGAGAUACCUGAAAAUGUGGAAGCAGCUUUGGAACUUGGUGACAGGCAGAAGUUGGAAGAGUUUGUAGGGCUCAGAAGAAGACAGAAAGAUGAGGGAAAGUUUGGAAUUUCUUAGGGACUGGUUAAAUGGUUGUGACCAAAAUGCUGAUAGCUAGGACAUGAACAGAAUGCACCCAAGCACUUUGCUAAGGCAAAACAUGCGUGACCUUUGCUCUAGUUCCCAAUAAUUUCCUUAUUUCCAUUCGAGACCUCAGAAGCCUGGACUUCAAACCAAAAUGCUGAUAGUGAUGUGAACAGUGAAGUCCAGGCUGCUGAGGCCUCAGAUGGAAAUUAGGAACUUACUGGGAACUAGAGCAAAGGUCACACAAUGUUAACGCCUUAGCAAAGAGCUUAGCUGCCUUCUGUUCAUGCCCUAGGAAUCUGUGGAAGUUUGAACUUGAGAGUGAUGAUUUAGGGUAUCUGGCAGAAGAAAUGUCUAAGCAGCAAAGUGAUCAAGAAGUGGUGUGGCUGCUUCUAGCCACUUAUAUUCAGAUGUGGGAGCAAAGACAAAAGGUAGAACUUAUAUUUAAAAGGGAAGCAGAGCAAAAAAAGUUUGGAAAAUUUGCAGCCUGGCCAUGUGGCAGAGAAAGAAAAAAGCUUUUUCAGUAGAGGAAUUCAAGCAGACUGUGGAACAAUUACUUGCUAGAGAUGUUUGCAGGAUUAAAGGGGAGCCAAGUGCUACUAUCCAAGACAAUAGGGAAAAAGCCUUGAAAGCAUUUCAAAGAACUUCAGAGUGGCUUCUCCCAUCACAGGCCCAGAAGCUUAGGAGGAGAGAAUAGAUUCAUGGACUGGGCCCAGGGCCAUGGUACCUUGCACAGCCUUGGGACACUGCUCACCACAUCCUAGCUGCUCCUGUUCCCACUCUUGCCAUGGCUCAAAGGGGCCUACAUACAGCUUGGACUGCCACUUUGGAGAAUGCAAACAGUAAACCUUGGUAGCUUUCAUGUGGUGUUAAGCCUGCAGGCACACAAAGUGCAAGAAUCGUGGAUUCUUGGCAGCCUCUGCCUAGAUUUCAGAGGACAUAUGGAAAAGUCUGUUUGUCCAGGCAGAAGCCUGUUACAGGGGUGGAGCCCUUACAAAGAACCUCUACUAGGGCAGUAUAGAGGGGAAAUGUGGGGUUGGAGGCUCCAACAGGGUCACCGCUGGGGCACUGCCUAAUGGAACUAUACGAAGUGGGCCACUGCCCUCCAGACCUAAGGAUGAUAGAUCUACCAGCAGCUUGUAUUCUGCACCUGGAAAAGCCACAGGCACUCAACUGCAGCCCAUGAGCGCAGCCUUGGAUUCUUUACCCUGCAAAGCCAUAGGGGCAGGACUGCUCAAGGCCUGGGGAGCCCACCCCUUGUACCAGUGUGGCCUGGAUGUGGAACAUGAUGUCGAAGAUUAUUUUGGAACUUUAAGAUUUAGUGACUUCCCUACUGGGUUUUGGAGCUGUGUGGAUCCUGUAGACCCUUUCUUUUGGCCAAUUUCCCCCUUUUUGGGAUGGAAACAUUUACCCAAUCCCUAUACCCCCAUUGUAUCUUGGAAGUAAAUAAUUUGUUUUUGAUUUUACAGGCUUAUAGGUGAAAGUGACUUCCCUUGUCUCCAAUGAGGCUUUGGACUUUGGACUUUUGAGUUAAUGCCAGAAUGAGUUAAGAUUUUGGGGGCCUAUUGGAAAGGCAUGAUUGUAGUUUGCAAUGUGAGAAGGACAUGAGAUUUGGAGAGGCCAGAGGUGGAAUGGUAUAGUUCAGAUAUUUGACCCAGCCCAAAUCUCUUGUUGAAUUGUAAUCCCCAAUGCUGGAGGUGGGGCCUUCCUUGUAUGAUGUGUUUGGAACAUGCAGGCAAAUUCCUCAUGGCUUGGUGCUGUUUUCAUGAUAGUGAGUGAGUUCUCCUGAGAUGUGGUCAUUUAAAAGUGUAUGGCACCUCCCCCCACUCUCUAUCUCUCUUGCUCCUGCUCUGCUAUAUGAGACACCUGUUCCCCGUUUGCCUUCCACCAUGAUUGAAAGCUUUGUGAGACCUCCUCAGAAGCCAAGCAGAUGCCAGUGCCAUGCUGCCUGUAUAGCCUGCAGAACCACAAGCCAAGUAAACCUCUUUUCUUUAUAAAUUACUUAGUCUCAGAUAUUUCUUUACAGCAAUGUAAGAAUGGCCUAAUACAAUAGCCUAAACUAAUUUGAGGGAGGUGAUGUGUCUCUUGCUACACAAAGUAUGGUUCAUGGACUAACAGCAUUGGCGUCACCAGGAGGUUGUCAGAAGUACAGACUUUCAGUUCCCUUCCCAGACCUAAUAAAUCAGACUCUCCAAAAAGUUUUGGGAGCACUGCUCCAGCCAAUGACUUGUGGUAGAAUUCUGUUUUUGCCUCAACAGCAUCCAUUCUCCUUUCAGUAACAACUCCUAGCUUCUACUUUGGGGAACUUUCCAUCUCCCACACUCAGACCUAGGGUUCAGAUGUGGCUAACCUAGCCCUGUGCAGCCAGAGGAAGGCACAUGAUCCAGGCCUGGCCAAUGACAGUGCCUUAUGACCCAGCCAGAGUGACUGGUUCAGCAAAGAGGGUGUAAUAUGAGCUGAGCCAAUGAGACUUAGUCCUGGUACUUUUGGGAAAGAAAUGCUCCCCUUCCUGAGUUUGCUGAGCUGAUAAGAUAUUCAUCUACAGCAGCCAUCUUUCCACUACCUGAGAAUGAAGCCAACAUAGGAAAAUGGAGCUGAGAAAUGAGAGAGAUCCUAACAAAUUCAUUUAUCCACUCACUACCGGAUCUAAAUCCUGGGCUUUUUAGUAACUCAAGCCAGUAUAGUCUUCAUUUCUUUGGCCAGUUCAAACUGGAUGUCUACUAGUUACAACUGAAAGAAUCCUAAUACAUCAGUCUCUUCCUGUCCCUGAAAUUCAUUAGGCUCAUUUUGAAUCUUUGAUAUUUCCUUUUCCUCUCUUCUUUGUCUGUGUUU